rnacentral:rRNA from 1 species
CAAUAGCGUAUAUUAAAGUUGUUGCAGUUAAAAAGCUCGUAGUUGGAUUUCGGGACGGGCCAGUUGGUCCGCCGCAAGGUGUGUUACUGACUGGUCUGUUCUUCUUCGCAAAGACUGCGUGUGCUCUUCGUUGAGUGUGCGUAGGAUUUACGACGUUUACUUUGAAAAAAUUAGAGUGUUCAAAGCAGGCUAUCGCUUGAAUACAUGAGCAUGGAAUAAUGGAAUAGGACUUUGGUCCUAUUUUGUUGGUUUCUAGGACCGAAGUAAUGAUUAAGAGGGACAAUUGGGGGCAUCCGUAUUUCGUUGUCAGAGGUGAAAUUCUUGGAUUUACGAAAGACGAACAACUGCGAGAGCACUUGCCAAGAGUGUUUUCAUUAA